AACUAUUGAUUACGAAAGAUAAGGUUGUUCCUGACCUUCCAAAUUGUCCACCAGCAUGCGGCUAAUUCGGAAAGUCCAUUACUUCUACCUCGCAUCGCUACCUUUCCAAUCCACUUAUCCCAAACUACAAGUACGUUGUCACCCAGUUCCUCCGUGCGCACAUCCUCGAAGAUAUACUUAAUAAACACGCAUUGAGUAAAAAGAUGGUCCACAGAUUCGUCGUCGUGGGCCCUACACAACACACAAACUGCGU
rnacentral:lncRNA from 1 species